GACGGAGGGGGCAAGCGUUGUCCGGACUCACUGGGCGUAAAGCGCACGUAGGCGGUUGUGUGCGUCGCUGCUGAAAGCGCCAGGCUUAACCUGGCGAGGCGUGGCGAUACGACAUGACUAGAGGCAGGCAGAGGGUGGCGGAAUUCCGGGUGUAGUGGUGAAAUGCGUAGAGAUCCGGAGGAACGCCUGUGGCGCAAGCGGCCACCUGGGCCUGACCUGACGCUGAGGUGCGAAAGCGUGGGGAGCGAACCGGAUUAGAAACCCCCGUAGUCC
rnacentral:rRNA from 1 species